UACGGAGGAUCCGAGCGUUAUCCGGAUUUAUUGGGUUUAAAGGGUGCGCAGGCGGGAGAUUAAGUCGGCGGUGAAAUUUUGCAGCUCAACUGUAAAAGUGCCUUCGAAACUGGUUUCCUUGAGUGUAGAUGAAGUAGGCGGAAUUUGUGGUGUAGCGGUGAAAUGCAUAGAUAUCACGAGGAACUCCGAUUGCGCAGGCAGCUUACUAAACUACUACUGACGCUCAGGCACGAAGGCGUGGGGAUCAAACAGGAUUAGAUACCCCAGUAGU
rnacentral:rRNA from 1 species